UGGAAAUGUCUCACGUAGGCAUUUAAAAACAGAAAAUGAAUGUGCUUCAGUGCAGGGGCUACAGUGGUCUGUGGAGAUGAUAGCCAGAGAGUUUGGUUAUCUGGAAGUCCAGGUCACCAAGCUGUGCUGCAGGCAGGUUGCUAAACAUCAGGCUCUUCUUUCAGAUGUGAUUUGAAAUGCAGCUGAGGUCUUGCUGGGGUUCCAUGGGGAACCCGUCACAGUGCAACCACAGUAUGCAUUUUCCUGCAUUUUUCUACUUUACAGUAGAAAAUGUCUGAACAAGCUGUGCUGGUGACAUCACCUCUGAAGUGAUAGCACCAUGUAGAUGAUAUUUGCUGGGGUGUGGAGUGUACACAGGGAGAAUGGUUGUGUGUCUGAUUGGUCAGUUAGAAAAAUUGAAGCAAAGGGUUGCUUUGCUGUAGUGGCUGCAGUUUUAAUGGGCAAUAGAUAAACAUCUUGGCAGGUGCUUGGUGAUCUGCAGCUGUUUUUGGAAUGGGUCAUUAAGCAAAACAGAAAUAGUCCUGAGGAAGAGGAAAAACUUGAACGUGAAAGAGAAAUGAUGAAUGGUAUUUCCUUACAGCUGCUUUACUAGGUCAUCAAAACAGCUAACUGAGUUUUGGAGGUCUUUUCUGAUUCGAGAGUUGUUAAAAGAAGAUGUGAAAUACAUAAAAUAUGUUUAUGUGCCAGUAUUUAUAGAUUAUGUUAAGUAAAUAGGGAAAAUGAUAGCCACGAAUAAAACCUUACAGAAAAUGCAUGCAUUGAUAACCUCAUGUAAAUGGUACAUGAGAGGCACCCUGGGCCAAGAAUAGAAGAAAAAUUCUUUAGAUUUUUCAGUGGCAUGGAAUCCUAACAGCAAUAGAGCCCUAUAUAAGGUAAGGAUGGAAAAAUGUAACCACUGUGCAGAAAAUAUGGGAUAAAUAUUAAUAAAUACUACUGCAGCAUAUUAGGAAAAGAAUAGGUUGGUCGAUAUCUUCCCAUUUUGCUUUGAUGUAGAAAUGUCUCUUCGAGGAACAUCUAGCUAGAAUUUCAAAAUGGUGCUUAAUAGCAUUCGAUAAAUAAAACAGACAGAAUUACUUGCUUCAAAGAAUAUUGAGAGGGCUAUCUUAAGACCAAUGAUAUUUGUUCUAAGUGCCUCUUGGAAUAUAAAUGCAAUUUCAGAGUCAUAGAAGAGAGCUUUUGGAUUUCUAGAAGCUAUAAACAAUGAACCUGGACAGCUGUGAACUUGUUUGGCCUGCCAUGAAUUUCAAGCAACAUCAUGAAAGCUAUGAUGUGGUUCAUCAAUAAUGGAAAUGGCUGUGCAACCGGUGCCCAUCUGCAAUGCUAUACAGAAAAGUGCUCUUCUAUAAUGUUUUUUCUUGCUGUUAUGUUUUGCAGUUACCAGAUUUCUGAAGGCCAGAAGCACCCUAAUUCUGUGUCUGUUCUUUCUCCCUGGAAAGCUGGCACUGAGCACUGUGUACUGCCAUAGAAGAUUUACGAUUGCUUAACCCCAAAUACUUGGUCUCAAAGCUGAAUUUAAUGGAGGAGGUUCCCUUCCAUUAUAAUCUUAAUAUCCUUAAUAUGUUCUUUCGGUUUAGUGGUGUUUCAGCAGGUUUGUAUUUAUAGGUGCUAUUUUCCUUGCUCCCCACUGCAGCAGUGACUGUAUAUCUACCUUGGUUGACUAUUAUCCCUUGGUGCUUUUGCUGUGAUAUACUUAAUUACAUUGUUCUGCUUUUGUCUCAGAUCAGGGCAAGGACAAAAACACAACAGUGAAGAAAUCUUUGGAGUAUCCAUCCUAUCUGCACAUCAUCCAUAGCCAUCUGAGUGCUGUUGCAGCGGCUCAACUGCACUUGUAUUGCUGGAUGUAUCUGAUGGGUUGAGGAUCGGCAGUGGUUGGAUUAGGAAAAGCAAUUGUUGUAGGAAUCUUUUGAAUCCUGCAAAAGUUUGGAUGAAACCUGUGGCAGUCACUGCAAGACCGCUCUGCUUUAAGAGAAUUGUGUGCUCCAGAAGAGCUGGAAGCUGUGAACCAUGCUUCCUCUGUGCUUGCUUCUUCCUGCUACCUGCAUGGAGGCAGCAGUGUGCUUGGGCACUUCCCCUUCAGCGUGGUGCCUGCCUCCUUCCAUGUGCCAGAAGAACAAGGCUGUGUGCCCUGCAGAGGAUGAUCACCUGCUAAUAAGAAAAAAGUAUCUCCUUUCCCAAGAACCGUAUCCACGUUACUGAAGACUGAGGUGAGCCAAGAAUCAUCAGUGUGUCAAAAGCUCACCUUUGUGCCAAGAAAGCUGGCUCUGGGUAGCGAUUUUAGGAGCUUUUUCCAGACAACCGUACUGCAAAACUUCUGAAGGGAACAGCCAGAAACCAUCCUUUGAUUGCUGUGUGCUUUACCUCUUUGAAUUAAGUGAGCUGAUAUUACACACUAACAAGGAGUGACUUUCAUCUAUAAAAGAAAAUCCUCACAAACCAGACAACAGAGCACGAACCUCCCAGUUGGCUGCCAUAUCCAGUGGUGUUGUUCCCGGUACGAUUCCUUCAUCAUCAUCAUCAUCUUUCACAUCUUCUUCUACAUCAAAGAGCGGCUCAAAGUUCUCAACGUGAGGAUCUGCGCCUGGAAAAUAAGUGUGCAAGAAAUUUCUAAGGAAAGGCUUUUAAGCUGUUUUACAUUGUGCUGUGGAAAAGCAUUGUUUAAAAAGCUAAAUUAGAAGGCUUGCAAUUCAAAAUUUAAAAUAGAUGUUCUAACUCAGAAAAUCAUGGGUUGUUUUUUUUUAAAUAAACUGAAGUUAAAUGUCAUAACGUCCCUGUGUGUUCAUCCAUUAUACAGAUGGGGAAAAAAUGACAAGCAGAGUGUUAAGGCCCAAAGAAAGAGUCUGAAUAUAUAAACUGACUUCCAGUUCCAUUCUUGGCUCACACAGAGCACAGAGAUGUGAUGAAGCUCUGGUGCGGGGCUUCCCUUUUGUAGUGUCAGAGAAAGCACGAGUGUUACUAAAAGACCAAGCACACAGCCAGAGCAGUGGGACGCUUGGAUUUAUGUUUCUAAAGAGAAAUUCAGGUGUUAAGGGUUUAAACACAACUGAAAAAAACAUUCUAAUCCAUAAUCAAAACUAACUUUACCGUAAUGAUAGAAAACUGGGGAGAAGCAUGCUCAGUUUCUUUGCCUUUAAAGGAGUUCAACCCUCCUCCCAACUAUAAAACCGGGUCUUUUGUCUGCUUCAGAUAUUAAAAAAUAUCUACAAAUACCCCAAAACUUCCAAGAAUGCUUGGGAACUAUUUUUACUAAUGCAGUUUUGCUUUGCUUUUUUUAGCCAUUAGAUGGUGCUAAAGAGUAGCAGAGCCCCUGGAAGGAGGACUUUCCCGAGGAGAAACAAGCCUUUGUGCUUUAACAUCUGGUAUCUUCUGCUCAUUAAGAAGUUCAGACUUCUUUUUGCAGCCCCCUAACCUGAAUUGGCACAGUUAAAGAGAACACUGCAACAACUAUUUGAUUGAAUACCUGCUGCUUUGAGAACUGCUGCCAGUUUUGUGAAGCCCCUUCCAGCUGCUAUGUGAAGAGGCGUUGUGCCAUCGUAUGUAGUGCUGUCCACAUCUGCAUCACCCUAAGUAUUGAAAGAGAAGAAAAAUGCUAUUCAUGUAUACGGUACCGUUGCAUAGAUACUUGUGUCUGCAUAAACCUUGCUACUCUGCAAGGAGCACCACUCCGUGCCUGUUUGCACAAAAAUUCCAAUCACUGUCUGAAAAGAAUGAAUCAGAAAGUGACUACAACUGUAGACACGCGAGAACAGACGGUGGUUGUGCACUGCAGUGCUACAGCAGGAGGCAUGCUGUCUGAACCCAAAUAGGUCAGGUAGAUAAAACUCAAAAGCCACUUUGCAUCCCAUAAUACAAAUCAGAUAAUAGUUCUAUUAUCAGAUUACCCGCAGCAUUUGCUGUGCACUGAAAGCCGCCCUCCUGCUGCCCUUCAGCAGAGCAGACGGGCUCUGAGCACAUCUGUACCCCAUGCCCAGGGGAGCUACCGCAGGUAGCUGUGGGUGUGCGCAAUUAAGAGUGCUAAGAUCAAGGUGGGAGAGAUGAGACAAAUAUUUACAGAUAUACACAGCUAUCUCUCUGCACAUCUGCAUACGCAUUCCACCGCACCAGAUCGGCAACUUGAUGGUGAGUAGCUUCAUUGGCUGCUGGGAUUACUCAGUGCAAAUGAAGCACAGCACAGGCAGUCAGGUCAGGGUCACAGACUAAAUUUCUCAGCUUACAAAAGGUUCAUCAGCAGUGCUGAAUGACUAACAGCAAAUAAAUAACAUUAGCGAUAAUUUUCCCAUUAUACCAGUUAAAGUAAUCGAGUCAAUAAAGAGAAACGCUACUUCAUUUCCACUGAAGACGGACAUGUUUUAAAAGUCUUGAUAAUAGGUCUCCGGGAAGAGCAGGGAAAAAGAAAUUCUGCCCUCACCUCAAGCAAAAGGCAGCCUGCCAAGGGGACGUUCUCUUGUUCAACAGCUAAAUGCAAUGCCGUUCGUCCAGAUUUUUGUUCCUGAGCAUUGACAUCAACUCCAGCAGCAAUCAGUAGUUUCAGACAGGACAAGCUAUUGGCGGUCACCACCAUGUGAAUUGCACUGAGACCUACACGAAAGCCGUUUGUAUACAUUAACAUUUGAAAAACACAGAAAUGUCACAGCAAUGACUUCUUAAGCAGCCGUAACUCUGAGAGGCUGGAAAAUGACUGAGAGUUACUGUAGUUAUCUGAGCACCUUUGCCUGUCUAUGCACCAAAAAUGGUGUUAAUUAAAAUGUUCUUCGUGCGUAAGUUGGAACUAUUUGUGUUACUGACAGUGACUCAAAACCAUGCAUGAAAAAAACAUCAGCAAAUUGCACUGCUGAACAGAAGGGAAGAAUAAAGAGCUCGCUCUGGAAUGUUCUUGAAACAUCCUGGAGAACAACUAAUGCUCCUUUAAAGUCAGACAGCCCCAUCACUUCAACAUUAACUGCAGUGGCUCAAAAAGAGAAUCAUAAAGCUUUCUAUUUACAAAUAAUAAGAAUCAACCCUCUCUGAGGAACAUAACACAGGUUUUAAAAUCACAUAAGGACAUUUUUAGGUCAGGUAUUUACUAUCUACGUCUAGUGCAAGAGUACUAAAUUCAAUUGACCUGUGCCAUUGAGAAGCAGGAGAGUUGGGUCUCCAUGGGUAUUUUAUAAGCUUUAAUACUCUGUGGUCCCAGAGUUCCAGAUGUGAUACUUGACACUGGUCCAGAAAUGACUUUUGAGGGGAUUUCCAUUCACUAGAGAGGAGGAAAUAUUUUCAGAUGGAAUUUUUUUUUUAAACAGUGGCUCUAUGGGGCAUCUCAAGAGGAACACAGUUCUUGAAUUUCUGUGAUGCUGAAGAUCAAAAAGUUCAAAUCCAUACUGUGUAAAUGGACAUUAUCAAUCUCUACGUUCUGUAUAACCACAAAACCUAUGCGUCUAUGUUCUCUUAUCUGACUGCAUGCGUAUAAAAGCCAAGGAUAUAAUGUGCAAACCAUGGAAAGAUGCAACUUCCAAGUUCUGUAUCUGUAUAGGAAGACUGGGUUCUCAGAAAUGGUGGGGUGCUUGGCUAGGAGGUAAGAAAGUGUAAAGUACAGGCACUACCGUUCCUACCUUCACCAUUGGAAAGGUCGAUCAUUGAAGAUGCCUUCUGAUGCUUGAGGAGCAGACUCAGAAUCUUGUCAUCUCCUUCAGCAGCAGCUAAGUGCAAGACAGAAUUACCAUGGCGAUCCAAAAGGUUGACAUUUGCUCCAGCCUUCAGCAGGUCUUCUACCACCUCUGCCUGCUUUGUGAUUACUGCCAGGUGCAGCGGGGUCUGGAAGUGACAGAAUUGAGCUGUGAAGAUAGUAGGCAACUACACGCCUUUAUAGAAAUCUGCUAAGCCAAUAAAAGCAUCUACUGUGCUGCUCCACUUUAAAGCUGACACAGGUGAAAAACUUGUGUACGAGUAUAUUUUCUUCUGCUGUAUAAUACAGAUAGGGUUUUUACGUACUGGAAAUAAAAGCCACCUCACUGGGGUCAGCAGUCAGACUUGAGGAGGAAGGAAGACAUUGUCUACUCUGUGGACUGGGGUCUAACCUGGACUUGGGAAACGAGAGAAUCCCAGUACUCCCAGAUGCAGUAACCCUGUACAGCUGCCCCCAGCCAAGCUCCUACCACAGAAGGAGCACACCCACUUUCUAGAGCCUCUUCAGCUCUGCCUCUGCAACUGAACCAUACUCUAAUUUUGCUCCUAAAAAGCAAGUUCCCAGCCACAGGUUUAGGAUUUCCUUAUCCAUCAAAACAACUACAUACAAAAAAGCAGAAAAACUCGCUGUUCUGUUUGACAAAGUUCAGAUCACACAACAUCAUCCAGCUGACACUGUUUGCACGAUUCCCAUUUUUGCACAAAGAUGCCUGCAGCACUGAGGCUCUCAGGCUGGGAUUUCAAGCAUUUCCAGAGAUCAACUGUAUACUGCAUCCUUGCCAGUAAGAAGCUUCACGGAUUUAAGUACAUAUUUAGUACGUAUUUAACAGUGAGGCACUGCAGUGGUUUAGGAAAUUGUAUUCCUAAAACUAAGAUAAUAUGAAAGAUGCAGAAGAUUCCAUCUCCAUAACAUGAUUUUUAUAUUUACACAACUGUUAAAAAAGGAACUAAUUUCAGCUCUGCACAAUCAGCUUGUGUUAGUCAGUGGAAUCACCACCGUAUUUGCAAUUAAUUACUUGAAUUUAUAUGACAAAGCAUAAUUAAUCUUUCAGAAUAUCUAUCUGUACAGAAGGAAAACCUUACACUAAACCUUCAUUUCCUCCCAUCACCAGCUUAAGGUUUUAGUGGAAGGUAGAACAGCUGAAGAAGUUCUGAUAGUUAGAGAUUUAUUUCUUGUAUGGAGCACAGCUUUGCUUCCUAUUUCUGUUAACAGAAGGCAUACAAAAUUCAAUUCAGAAUCUUCUUGCUUUCAUCACCUUCCACAUUUCAAACUUCCUUUAUGCGAACACAAAAAUGAAACAUGAAAGAGUACAAAGAAGUCACAAUAAACCUCUGAGAUUAUCUGCACAGAAUGAAGUCCUGGCUUUACCAUUUACAGAUUGGAGCUGAACAGAAAGAAAUGGCACAAAUCUCAGAAGUGCUGCUGUGUGAUGUCCAGCUGUGUACCUUUAGGACAGCGGAAUGGUGUGCAUGGUUGAAAAGAGCUGCCUGUACUGGCAAGUUUCUACAGCUCUUUUUAAAGCCCAUCUAAGUUGCAGCAGAAAAAGCUCAGACUGCUGCAGAUAAGCUGAGGAUAGAAUUGUGCUGGGCUGCUAACAGUUACUUCCCUACUGGGUAGAAGAAAAACCUUGGUGCUCAUACAUACAACGGGCAUGAAGACCUACUAGGCUACAGAAAGACGCAGUUGGUACAAGCUUCCUCAGCAACCCACUCACAAUCCUGAGUUAUCCUGCAUUAAAUGUUUGAAAGAGCCCAGAGUUGGCGCACUAAUCCAGAUCUCUGGUUUAAUAACAGAAGAGCCAAAUCAUGAAAAUACAAACUGAAGAAUUCAGAAUUCAGUAUUUUGGGGCUGUUCUAUGAUAAACAAACAGAGACGUUUCUCUUAACAUCGAGGCAGUAAGGAAUUAAUAGAGGGAGAACAUGCCCUUGUUUUUCCACCACCUUACAGCAUGUCACUGUGUUCCUCUGCCUGUGAAAUUCUAAACCAGUUUGCCUUACUACGUGAUCUGGGCUCAUUCCGAUGAAUAGAAGGAAAAUAAGACAGUAAGGAGAAGAGUUUUUGCUGGCUGAAUGAUCUCCAUCAGUUACACCACCACAACAGCAUACCUGGUAAAGGUCAUUUCUCAUGUUGAUAAUGUUGUUAUAAUUCAUAUCUGGCAUCACUUCCAAGAGGUUUUUAACCAGUUCUCUAUGAAGGUGGAUAAUUGACAAAUGAAGGACACUGAAACAAAACAACAGAUUAGCAUUGUCACUGUAUUCUCAAAUGAAUGAUACAAAUCCUAGGAUUUGGCUGUAUAUUUGACUAUUAGAAGUCAUGGCUGACACUUAAAAUGAAUGCUAACACACACACACAAAAACUGAGUCAGAAGAGAGCUGUGCGUAACCCUUCA
rnacentral:lncRNA from 1 species